rnacentral:rRNA from 1 species
UGGGGAAUUUUGGACAAUGGGCGAAAGCCUGAUCCAGCAAUGCCGCGUGUGUGAAGAAGGCCUUCGGGUUGUAAAGCACUUUUGUCCGGAAAGAAAUCCUCUGGGUUAAUACCUCGGGGGGAUGACGGUACCGGAAGAAUAAGCACCGGCUAACUACGUGCCAGCAGCCGCGGUAAUACGUAGGGUGCAAGCGUUAAUCGGAAUUACUGGGCGUAAAGCGUGCGCAGGCGGUUUUGUAAGACGGAUGUGAAAUCCCCGGGGCUUAACCUGGGAACUGCAUUCGUGACUGCAAGGCUAGAGUAUGGCAGAGGGGUAGAAUUCCACGUGUAGCAGUGAAAUGCGUAGAGAUGUGGAGGAAUACCGAUGGCGAAGGCAGCCCCCUGGGCCAAUACUGACGCUCAUGCACGAAAGCGUGGGGAGCAAACAGGAUUAGGAUACCCCUGGGUAGUCCACGCCCUAAACGAUGUCAACUAGUUGUUGGGGAUUCAUUUCCUUAGUAACGUAGCUAACGCGUGAAGUUGACCGCCUGGGGG